ACCUACGGGGGGCAGCAGUAGGGAAUCUUCCACAAUGGACGAAAGUCUGAUGGAGCAACGCCGCGUGAGUGAAGAAGGGUUUCGGCUCGUAAAGCUCUGUUGGUAGUGAAGAAAGAUAGAGGUAGUAACUGGCCUUUAUUUGACGGUAAUUACUUAGAAAGUCACGGCUAACUACGUGCCAGCAGCCGCGGUAAUACGUAGGUGGCAAGCGUUGUCCGGAUUUAUUGGGCGUAAAGCGAGUGCAGGCGGUUUAAUAAGUCUGAUGUGAAAGAAUUUGGGUGAAAAGGAG
rnacentral:rRNA from 1 species